UACGUAGGGGGCAAGCGUUGUCCGGAUUUAUUGGGCGUAAAGAGCGUGUAGGCGGCCAGGUAGGUCUGCUGUGAAAACUCGAGGCUUAACCUCGAGCUGUCGGCGGAAACCAUCAGGCUAGAGUCCGGAAGAGGAGAAUGGAAUUCCCGGUGUAGCGGUGAAAUGCGCAGAUAUCAAGAGGAACACCUGAGGCGAAGGCGGGUUGCUAGGCUGACACUGACGCUGAGUGCGCGAAAGCCAGGGGAGCAAACGGG
rnacentral:rRNA from 1 species